AUACUCUGGUUCCUCUUUAGAAUCACUAAUUUUUUUUUGCAUUUUAUUAAAGAUUUCUGUGGAGGGGAACAACCAUGAGUUUUGGUGAAUUUUUUUGAUGCCUGGCUAAUGCCGGGCC